rnacentral:tRNA from 1 species
GUCAGUGUGGCAUAGUGGGUUGAGCAUUGGACUCCAACUCUGGAGACCAGGGAUUGAUUCCCAGCUCAUCCA